AGCUUUGCGGAGUGGCAGUAUCGUAGCCAAUGAGGUUUACUGAGGUGUGAUUAUUGCUAAUUGAAAGCUUUUCCCAAUGCCCCACCAUGAUGACUUGAAAUAUAGUACACACUGGCAAUUUUUGAUAGUCUCUAGGGAGA
ensembl:snRNA U4 U4 spliceosomal RNA